AAAGGUCACCGUGAAUCGUGGCCUGAUGCGGUAGAUCGCCUGAUCCGCUACAUCCUUGUACCUCGCUUCCUCCUUGCAAUCACAGCCACCACCGCUCGUCCAUCACAGUGUCGUAGGGAGUCAGUCGAGAUGUCCAACAUCGAACGCGAAAAUGGUGUCGUGAAGUGGUUCAACGAUGCCAAGGGCUUUGGGUUCAUCAGCCGCGAAAAUGGCGAAGACGUCUUCGUGCAUUUCCGCGCGAUCCAGAUCCAGGGCUUCAAGAGUCUCAAGGAAGGUCAGAAGGUCAGCUUCACGGUCGUGCAAGGCCAGAAGGGCCUGCAGGCCGAUGCAGUGCAGGUGGUCUGAGCCGCUGCGCCAAGCGCAUCAGCCACGCAACAAAAAGGCCCGUCACCGGGCCUUUUUGUUG
rnacentral:misc_RNA from 1 species